rnacentral:rRNA from 1 species
AAUGAACGCUGGCGGUAGGCCUAACACAUGCAAGUCGAGCGGCCUCUCGGUGAAGGGGUGGUCUGGUGAGUAACGCGUGGGAAUAUGCCCUUGUAUACGGAGUAGCCUCGGGAUACUGAGGGUAAUACCGUAUACGCCUUGCGCGGGUAAGAUUUAUCGCGGAAGGAUUAGCGCGGGUUGGAUUAGGACGUUGGUAGAGUAAUGGCCUACCAAGCCGAUGAUCUAUAGCUGGUUAGAGAGGCUGAUCAGCCACACUGGGACUGAGACACGGCCCAGACUCCUACGGGAGGCAGCAGUGGGGAAUCUUAGACAAUGGGGGCAACCCUGAACGAGCCAGGCUGGGAGAGUGAUGAAGUCCGUAGGGUUGUAAAGCUCUUUCAGCUGGGAAGAUGAUGACGGUACCAGCAGAAGAAGCCCCGGCUAACUCCGUG